rnacentral:rRNA from 1 species
GACGAACGCUGGCGGCGCGCCUAACACAUGCAAGUCGAACGGAGCUGAGAGAAGCUUGCUUUUCUUAGCUUAGUGGCGAACGGGUGAGUAACGCGUGAGUAACCAGCCCUGGAGUGGGGGACAACAGUUGGAAACGACUGCUAAUACCGCAUAAGCCCACGAUCCGGCAUCGGAUUGAGGGAAAAGGAUUUAUUCGCUUCAGGAUGGACUCGCGUCCAAUUAGCUAGUUGGUGAGGUAACGGCCCACCAAGGCGACGAUUGGUAGCCGGACUGAGAGGUUGAACGGCCACAUUGGGACUGAGACACGGCCCAGAAUCCUACGGGAGGCAGCAGUGGGGGAUAUUGCACAAUGGGGGAAACCCUGAUGCAGCGACGCCGCGUGGAGGAAGAAGGUUUUCGGAUUGUAAACUCCUGUCGUUAGGGACGAUAAUGACGGUACCUAACAAGAAAGCACCGGCUAACUACGUG